UCGUGGGUAAGUCCUUUCCGAAACGGAUGAGGCCACCGUGAGGUGGGUGGGACAAAGUAGGAGAGGGGCCACUU
rnacentral:sRNA from 12 species